GAUCAACGCUGGCGGCGUGCAUGAGACAUGCAAGUCGAACGAAGGAUCGGGCUUGCUCGAUCCUUAGUGGCGGACGGCUGAGUAACGCGUAGGUGACCUACCCCGAAGUGGGGAAUAACUGCCCGAAAGGGUGGCUAAUACCGCAUGUGGUCGCACGUUCAUUCGUGCGAGUAAAGCCGCAAGGCGCUUCGGGAGGGGCCUGCGUCCGAUUAGCUCGUUGGUGGGGUAAUGGCUUACCAAGGCGACGAUCGGUAGGUGGUCUGAGAGGACGAUCACCCAGACUGGGACUGAGACACGGCCCAGACUCCUACGGGAGGCAGCAGUCGGGAAUUUUGCGCAAUGGGGGAAACCCUGAAGCAGCAACGCCGCGUGAGGGAUGAAGGCCUUCGGGUUGUAAACCUCUUUUGUCAGGGACGAUGAUGACGGUACCUGGCGAAUAAGCCACGGCUAACUACGUG
rnacentral:rRNA from 1 species